rnacentral:piRNA from 1 species
UAAGGAUUGUGUAUCCACUUGGGGACCUUC